AGUCACACUGGAACUGAGACACGGUCCAGACUCCUACGGGAGGCAGCAGUGGGGAAUAUUGGACAAUGGGCGAAAGCCUGAUCCAGCCAUGCCGCGUGUGUGAAGAAGGUCUUCGGAUUGUAAAGCACUUUAAGUUGGGAGGAAGGGUACUUACCUAAUACUGAGUUUUUGACGUUACCGACAGAAUAAGCACCGGCUAACUCUGUGCCAGCAGCCGCGGUAAUACAGAGGGUGCAAGCGUUAAUCGGAAUUACUGGGCGUAAAGCGCGCGUAGGUGGUUUGUUAA
rnacentral:rRNA from 1 species